rnacentral:rRNA from 1 species
AGAGUUUGAUCAUGGCUCAGAACGUACGCUGGCGGCACGCCUAACACAUGCAAGUCGAACGAAGUAGCAAUACUUAGUGGCAGACGGGUGAGUAACAUGUAGGUAUCUGCCCUUUGGCCUGGAAUAACACGAGGAAACUUGUGCUAAUACCGGAUAAGUCUUUACGGAGAAAGCUUUAUGCACCAUUGGAUGAGCCUGCACUUGAUUAGUUUGUUGGUGGGGUAAUGGCCUACCAAGACUUUGAUCAAUAGCUGAUUUGAGAGGAUGAUCAGCCACAUUGGGACUGAGACACGGCCCAAACUCCUACGGGAGGCAGCAGUGGGGAAUCUUGCACAAUGGAGGAAACUCUGAUGCAGCGAUGCCGCGUGAGUGAAGAAGGCCCUUGGGUUGUAAAGCUCUUUCGUCGGGGAAGAAAAUGACUGUACCCGAAUAAGAAGGUCCGGCUAACUUCGUGCCAGCAGCCGCGGUAAUACGAAGGGACCUAGCGUAGUUCGGAAUUACUGGGCUUAAAGAGUUCGUAGGUGGUUGAAAAAGUUGGUGGUGAAAUCCCAGAGCUUAACUCUGGAACUGCCAUCAAAACUUUUCAGCUAGAGUAUGAUAGAGGAAAGCAGAAUUUCUAGUGUAGAGGUGAAAUUCGUAGAUAUUAGAAAGAAUACCAAUUGCGAAGGCAGCUUUCUGGAUCAUUACUGACACUGAGGAACGAAAGCAUGGGUAGCGAAGAGGAUUAGAUACCCUCGUAGUCCAUGCCGUAAACGAUGUGUGUUAGACGUUGGAAAUUUAUUUUCAGUGUCGCAGCGAAAGCGAUAAACACACCGCCUGGGGAGUACGACCGCAAGGUUAAAACUCAAAUGAAUUGACGGGGACCCGCACAAGUAGUGGAGCAUGUGGUUUAAUUCGAAGAUACGCGCAGAACCUUACCAACACUUGACAUGUUCGUCGCGACUCUAAGAGAUUAGAGUUUUCGGUUCGGCCGGACGAAACACAGGUGCUGCAUGGCUGUCGUCAGCUCGUGUCGUGAGAUGUUGGGUUAAGUCCCGCAACGAGCGCAACCCUCACUUUUAGUUGCCAUCAUUAAGUUGGGCACUCUGAAAGAACUGCCAGUGAUAAGCUGGAGGAAGGUGGGGAUGACGUCAAGUCCUCAUGGCCCUUACGUGUUGGGCUACACACGUGCUACAAUGGUAUCUACAACAGGAAGCAAGACGGCGACGUUAAGCAAAUCCUUAAAAGAUACCUCAGUUCGGAUUGCACUCUGCAACUCGAGUGCAUGAAGCUGGAAUUACUAGUAAUCGUGGAUCAGCGUGCCACGGUGAAUGCGUUCCCGGGUCUUGUACACACCGCCCGUCACACCAUGGGAGUUGGUUCUACCUUAAGGCAAGGUUUAAUACCCUUGACCACGGUAUAGUCAGCGACUGGGGUGAAGUCGUAACAAGGUA